CUGCAAAUGUCCGUGAGAGGAGUUUCGGUUUCCGCUGCCGCGGCCCGGCAGGGCUCCGGCAGAAGCAGCGGGCCCCCGGACCCCUGGGCGCCCUGUCCCGGCCGCGAGGCCUCCUGCACGGGGGACGUCCCACCGAGCUUCCCCGAGCCUGCUUCCUCGGAGGCGGCGUGUGUCCGUGGCCAUCUUUUGUAAAGUGCCCGCCCACGCAGACCCUCGUCGCCCUCUCCUGCUCUUUCUUCAGGGCCCUCACCACACCUGAAACUGUUUUUCUCUCGUGUCUCUAAAUGCAGACUCUGCUGACGACUUGCGUAUCUUUUCAGCUCAGACUUCUCUCCCCGACUUCAAACUCCUGAAAACUUAACAAACUUAACGUGACCAGAACAUGAACUUCUGCUUCCUCCCCUCUCUCCCUACGCCCAUCCCACCUCCAAAUCCGACCUGCGCCUCCCGAAGUCUUCCCUGCCUCAGUCCAUGGCAAUAUCUUCCCUUUUGCUUAGGACCCAAGCCUUGGUGUUAUUCUUGAAUCCUCUUUCUUUUACUUUCUCUUACUUCCAAAUCAUCAAGAAACCCGCUCUGCUGAAUCCUGGUUCAAGGCACCAUCGUGUCUUCUCCUGACUUCUGCGCUGGCCUCUUUCCUGGUCUCCCUGCUUCUACUCUUGCCGCUCAGCAUCCAUCCUAAAUGCAGCAGAGUGAUGCUAUUAGAAAACCUGAGACACCGCUCUUAAGCUCACAACCUUCUGAGAGCCCCUUCUUGUUCUCAGAGCAAAGGCCAAAAUCCCACCAGAUGCCCCCACAUUUCUUCUUUGAUCUCAUCUGCUAGUACCCUAACACUGCUCAGUGCUUAAACUUCUAAGCUUGCUCUUGAUUCAAGUCUUCUGUGCUGGUCCUAACUUCUGCCUGGAGUACUGGCCCCCUAGAUAGAUACUUGGCAGAUUUCAAGUUUUCACUCAAAUGUCACCUACUCAGUGAGGCCUACCCUGACUGCCCCGUUGGAAGUUGCUCACACACUCUUUGUGUACCCAGGUGGUUCUUGAUCUACUCUCUUUUUUCCCUAGCAUUUAUCACCUAAUAUUUAUCUUUUUUUUUUUUUG
rnacentral:lncRNA from 1 species